rnacentral:rRNA from 1 species
CCGUGACGGAAUAGUUCGUUGAAGUACCUACCUAUAGGAUCUGCAGGCAAAUCCACAGAUCUUGGGGAAAUACGAUAGUACUCGGAGUCUUCGGACAAAGAGAUAGUGCGCCUAAGGGCUUCCAAGAAAAACCUCUAAACUUCAGGUAAUUAGUACCAGUACCGUAAACCGACACAGGUAGUUGAGGAGAGAAUCCUAAGGUGCUCGAGAGAUUCAUGGCUAAGGAAUUAGGCAAAAUAGACCUGUAACUUCGGGAGAAAGGUCGCCAGCGCAAGCUGGCCGCAGUGAAGAGGUCCAGGCGACUGUUUAUCAAAAACACAGGGCUCUGCAAAAUCGUAAGAUGAAGUAUAGGGCCUGACACCUGCCCGGUGCUGGAAGGUUAAGAGGAGAUGUUAUCUUCGGAGAAGCAUUGAAUUGAAGCCCCAGUAAACGGCGGCCGUAACGAUAACGGUCCUAAGGUAGCGAAAUUCCUUGUCGGGUAAGUUCCGACCUGCACGAAUGGUGUAACGAUCUGGACACUGUCUCAGCCUUGAGCUCGGUGAAAUUGUAGUAACGGUGAAGAUGCCGUUUACCCGCAGUGGGACGAAAAGACCCUGUGCACCUUUACUAUAGCUUAGUAUUGACCUUGGAUAAAUGAUGUGUAGGAUAGGUUGGAGACUGUGAAGUGGCGUCGCCAGGCGUUGUGGAGUCAUUGUUGAAAUACAACCCUUUGUUUAUCUGAGGCCUAACCCCGUUUUGCGGGGGACAUUGCUUGGUGGGUAGUUUGACUGGGGUGGUCGCCUCCAAAAGAGUAACGGAGGCUUCUAAAGGUUCCCUCAGUACGCUUGGUAACCGUGCGUAGAGUGCAAUGGCAUAAGGGAGCUUGACUGAGAGACAUACAGGUCGAUCAGGUACGAAAGUAGAGCAUAGUGAUCCGGUGGUUCCGCAUGGAAGGGCCAUCGCUCAAAGGAUAAAAGGUACGCCGGGGAUAACAGGCUGAUCUCCCCCAAGAGCUCAUAUCGACGGGGGGGUUUGGCACCUCGAUGUCGGCUCGUCACAUCCUGGGGCUGGAGAAGGUCCCAAGGGUUGGGCUGUUCGCCCAUUAAAGUGGCACGCGAGCUGGGUUCAGAACGUCGUGAGACAGUUCGGUCUCUAUCUACUGUGGGCGUUAGAAAUUUGAGUGGAUCUGAUUCUAGUACGAGAGGACCGAAUUGGACAAACCUCUAGUGUAUCUGUUGUCCCGCCAGGGGCACCGCAGAGUAGCUACGUUUGGAAGGGAUAAGCGCUGAAAGCAUAUAAGCGCGAAACCCACCACAAGAUGAGUUUUCUUUUAAGGAUCGUGGAAGAUGACCACGUUGAUAGGCUAUAGAUGUAAAGGCAGUAAUGUCAUAGUCGAGUAGUACUAAUAAUCUG